AAAUUGUUAAUGAGAGAAAUAACACUAAAUGGAUGAGACUACAAGUCUACAAAGGCUUCUUGGUCAUCAAAGGAAGUUCACAACUUAUAGAUAGCUCCAGCCCAGUGAGAAUGCUCUUAUAUAAGCAAAAUCUGUAGUAAUUUUUGCCUGGGAAACUAGAUGAUUGUGUUAGUACUUUGCAACUACUGUCUUAUGUUAAGCAUCAUAUUGUACAAAGAAAAUUAACAUAUAUUUCACUUAUUAGAAACAUCUAUCAUUCUAAGUUCCAAGGACCAUGACAAGCAGUUGCAUGGUUAAUUUUGUUCCACUAAUAAUUACACCCAGAAAGCCAGUAGGUUCAGGUGCAAGUGAACAAAAAAAACAUAGGGGUAAAAGUUUAGAACAUUUCAAAGUAAUUUGAUUACUCAGUAUUUAAAAAAAAACCCACAUCUACUUGUCACCUAGGUUAACUGAAUGAAUAAAGUUCAUGGAUAGAGUCGAGAUUGUUCAUGGAUAGUGUCAAGAUUGCACCUACUCCAUAGGUUAAGUUCCAAGUUACAUGGUUAAUUUUGUUCCACUGAUAAUUACACCCAGAAAGCCAGUAGGCUCAGGUGCAAGUGAACAAAAAAAAACAUAGGGGUAAAAGUUUAGAACAUUUCAAGGUAAUUUGAUUACUUAGUAUUUAAAAAAAAAACCCACAUCUACUUGUCACCUAGGUUAACUGAAUAAAUAAAGUUCAUGGAUAGAGUCAAGAUUGUUCAUGGAUAGCGUCAAGAUUGCACCUAGUCCAUAGGUUAAGGGGUCAUGUAUUGAGUAAGAAAUAGCUUUAAAAAAGGGACAAUCAUCACAGUGAUGUUUUGCGUCUCAUGAACUUGAGUAGACAACAAUAUGCACAUAUAAACAUUCAACUGCCUACAAACCUUGACCAUCAGAAAAGCCAUGUUGAUUUUGAUCAAAAGAAUCCAGUAACUAUCAGUUUCAAGAGUACAUGCAUGAAAGGUGAUAAUAUCUCUAGGUUGACUAGGCCCAUGCAAUUUUUUUAUAUAAUGUGAUUUAUGCUUCUUUUGACAUGUUAGACAUCAGUAAGAUGGAAGAAAAAUACAAAUGGCAGAGAAUUUGAACCACCGUUAAAGAUUUUCAUAAUUUUUUUAAUUUAGCUUGCAUCUUUGACUGUUCAACUUGUCUUAUAUGUGACAAAAGAAAUACAAUUUCUUCACUGACAUAAACCAUCUAAAAAGAAGAAACAGAGAACUGCAUUUUCUCCAUAAUGUGAAGUUGGUAAUAGCUCGAUCACUAUGGUUCUCAUAGCUCUUGUCAGUCUCCAAUCAGGGAUUUAACUGACAGCAAAACAGGUUGCCACCUGCUUGUCGUAUGCUAUUAUAAGAUGUUUAAUAAUUUAAUCGUGAAAAAAUGUGCCAUGUUUAUGCAUGUUCAGAUGUACUUCUUGUUGAUUUUGACAUUAAUUCUUGUAGUUUAUGUACUGUUUCUCUGAUUCGUUUAUGACUUUGCAAAGAAAAUGAAUCAAUUUGCAAUCAUUUUUUAGGCCCACUAUGCAAAAAUCAAUAGAAGCAGCAUCAGGAGUGAGUAAAACAGCAAGGUAAAUCUGAAGAGACACAUGCCACUCAGGAAAACCUUCAAACCUCAAGGAGGGUAAGGAACAGUUUUAGGCAUUCUCAGAAGUCUGUUUACACCUGUUGGUUGCAUAUGACAAAUUGUUAAUGAUCAACUAUACAUCAAUUUGAGCCAUUCCACCUAUAUGUGGCAUG
rnacentral:lncRNA from 1 species